UACGUAGGGUCGCAAGCGUUGUCCGGAAUUAUUGGGCGUAAAGGGCUCGUAGGCGGUUCGUCACGUCGGGAGUGAAAACUCGGGGCUUAACCCCGAGCCUGCUUCCGAUACGGGCAGACUAGAGGUAGGCAGGGGAGAGCGGAACUCCUGGUGUAGCGGUGGAAUGCGCAGAUAUCGGGAGGAACACCAGUGGCGAAAGCGGCACUCUGGGCCUAAACUGACGCUGAGGGGCGAAAGCGUGGGGAGCGAACGGG
rnacentral:rRNA from 1 species